rnacentral:rRNA from 1 species
AUUGAACGCUGGCGGCAUGCCUUACACAUGCAAGUCGAACGGUAACAGGUCUUCGGAUGCUGACGAGUGGCGAACGGGUGAGUAAUACAUCGGAACGUGCCCGAUCGUGGGGGAUAACGGAGCGAAAGCUUUGCUAAUACCGCAUACGAUCUACGGAUGAAAGCAGGGGACCGCAAGGCCUUGCGCGGACGGAGCGGCCGAUGGCAGAUUAGGUAGUUGGUGGGAUAAAAGCUUACCAAGCCGACGAUCUGUAGCUGGUCUGAGAGGACGACCAGCCACACUGGGACUGAGACACGGCCCAGACUCCUACGGGAGGCAGCAGUGGGGAAUUUUGGACAAUGGGCGAAAGCCUGAUCCAGCCAUGCCGCGUGCAGGAUGAAGGCCUUCGGGUUGUAAACUGCUUUGUACGGUAACGAAAAGACUACCUUCUAAUAAAGGGGUUACGAUGACGGUACGUAAGAAUAAGACACCGGCUAACUACGUAGCCAGCAGCCGCGGUAAAUC